GGGGCGGGCGCUGAAGAGGCAGCCGGAGGCGCGGAGCCAGCCGGCGGCCGCGCAGCCCGCCCCGGCGUGCCCAGGCGGCGCGGCCCCGAGGCGAUGGAGCAGGAGAAGUACCUGCCCGAGCUGAUGGCCGAGAAGGACAGCCUGGAUCCCUCCUUUGUGCACGCCAUGCGCCUCCUGGCCGACGAAAUUGAAAAAUUUCAGGGUUCUGAAGGCAAGAAGGAAGAUGAAGAAAAGAAAUACCUUGAUGUUAUCAGCAACAAGAACAUAAAGUUGUCAGAGAGAGUUCUGAUCCCUGUCAAACAAUAUCCAAAGUUCAAUUUUGUUGGGAAAUUGCUUGGACCAAGAGGAAACUCCUUGAAGAGGUUACAAGAAGAAACAGGUGCAAAAAUGUCUAUCCUGGGAAAAGGCUCUAUGAGGGAUAAAGCUAAGGAGGAAGAACUGAGGAAAAGUGGAGAAGCUAAAUAUGCCCACUUGAGUGAUGAGCUUCAUGUAUUAAUUGAAGUAUUUGCUCCACCUGGGGAAGCAUAUUCCCGUAUGAGUCAUGCCUUGGAAGAAAUAAAAAAAUUCCUCGUUCCUGAUUAUAAUGAUGAAAUUCGUCAGGAGCAACUGAGAGAGCUGUCAUAUUUGAAUGGUUCUGAGGAUUCGGCACGUGGACGGGGUAUUCGAGGAAGAGGGAUCCGUGUGCCACCUGCAGCUCCUUCAAGGGGCCGUGGGGGUGCGAUUCCUCCACCCCUCCCUGGACGAGGUGCCCAAGCCCCUCGAGGAGCACCAGUGACUCGUGGAGCUCUCCCCGUCCCACCUGUAGCAAGAGGUGUUCCCACACCUCGAGCAAGGGGGGCCCCAGCGAUCCCAGGCUACAGACCACCCCCACCACCUGCGCAUGAGGCAUAUGAAGAAUAUGGAUAUGAUGAUGGAUAUGGGGGUGAAUAUGAUGAUCCAAGCUAUGAGACGUAUGAUAACAGUUAUGCCACCCAAACACAAAGUGUGCCUGAAUAUUAUGACUACGGUCACGGAACAAGUGAAGAGGCUUAUGACAGCUACGCACAAGAAGAAUGGGCCACAACCCGUUCCAGCCUAAAGGCACCUCCUCCAAGGUCAGCCCGAGGGGCUUACAGGGAACACCCCUAUGGUAGAUAUUGAAGGUCCUCCUCAUCUGUGACCUCAUCUCAAAGACAAUUAAUAGCCUGUGGUCUCCGCAUAAACAGCAACAAGACAAGGCUCUGGACAGCUAAGCAGCAGAUCUGCUGAGAAGUGCUCAGAACUUUGGAGCUCUUAGGGAAGUACUGUACAUUUUGAAUGGUGCUCAAGGGCCUGAAUGUGUUCAGCAUCAUUUGAAAUAAAUCAGUGGGAUCUGGAACACUGAGCUUCAGACUGGGAGUCUCCCAAAGCCCUGAAUUAUGAAUUAUGAACCCAGCAUUAGCACCCCCUCCAGCAUUUGUCAGCUCUUAGACUCGCAGCGAUCUUCCAGCCUAUCAGGUACAGAGUACUUCAUUAUGUGCACGAACAGAAAUGCUUAAAUGGAUGAAGCAGCUAUUUAUGUAUGAUAGGAGCUAAGUGGGACAUUAAAUUAAUGCCAAACAAGGAUUUGAUGUCCUCUGAGUGAAUCACAUAGAAUCAUAGAAUGGCCUGGGUUGAAAAGGAACACAAUGACCAUCGAAUUUCAACCCCCCUGCUAUAUGCAGGGUCACCAACCACCAGAUCAGGCUGCCCAGAGCCACAUCCAGCCUGGCCUUGAAUGCCUCCAGGGACGAGGCAUCCACAACCUCCUUGGGCAACCUGUUCCAGUGUAUCACCACCCUCUGUGUGAAAAAAUUCCUCCUAAUAUCUAACCUAAGCCUCCCCUGUCUCAGUUUAAGACCAUUCCUCCUUGUCCUAUCACUAUUCACCCUCGUAAACAACUGUUCCCCCUCCUGUUUAUACACUCCCUUCAAGUAUUGGAAGGCCACAAUGAGGUCUCCCUGCAGCCUUCUCUUCUCCAAGCAAACAUGAAUUUCAGGUUCCAAAAUUUGUAUUCCUUUUGACAAUAAAAGGAAACAAGAAGAUUUGCAGAAAAAAUCUACUUUUUACAGAUGACCCAAAGCCAUAACACAAAUCCUAAUGCUUAAAUUAUGAUAACUCUUCACACCAAGUAAUAUUAGGCUCAGAAGACACUGACAAAGCAGUUUGAUAUCUAGUAGACAGCAAUACCACCCAGAUAAAUUCUUGUAGAUUUAAGAUCGGUUUUUUAUUGCACUAGUGCCAAGAUACUGAUAAAAAUUUCAAUAAUCUGAGAAUUUGUCCCAAUUGAAGGAAGCGUAGCAAAAUCUAGCACAGUAGUAUUUGAUUAACACCACAUACUUGUCAGCUCUACUAACUGUUCUUGCAAGUUUCAUUCACUUGUUUGGAGUUCUGUAGAUGGAACCGACCCCUGUGUUCUGUUUUCCUUCAGUUGCAGGUUAUUUUACAAAUCUCAGGAUCUGGAAGACAGAAAACUUUAUCUUCUAAAUGCCUAUCUGUAUUCCUAGAGUUUUGUCAGCUAAAGGAAAGCUAGUUUUAAUCUUAGGUUUUGAACAUAUUAAUAUUGGUUGGCAAUGUUUUCAGUAAACGAUGAUAUGGUUUAAUAAAGUGGUUGUCUUUUAAAAAGUCCAUUUUUACAAAUAUGAAGUUUAGUUUCUUCCUUUUAGAUAGGAAACGUUUUUAUUGAAUAACAGUGGAUAUGUUAUUUAAUCAAUACAAAUUUGGUAUCAGUCUUUUCCUAAUCAAGAUAAUGAAUUUAUAAUCUUUUUAGUACAAGAAACAUUUUAGAAAUUUAUUUUGUCUCUUGAAAUAGGAGAUAAGUCUAAGAGAUUCAUAUUUGUUUAAUGAUAUACUGCCUUGAUCUAUUAGACACCUUGAAAUAUACUGCAAGUGAUGAAAGAACAGCACAUUUUUUGCUUUGCAAUACACUGAUGCAGAUGUUGAAGAUCAGUAUAUCCAAUGAAGUCGUCAUCCUAAAAGUAUACUCUGGUUUCAGCAUCACCUCUUCUUUUGGGGUGUUUGAAACAAAGAUAUAGAAAGUAAAUUGAACUCAUCUUUAGUUAGCAGGCAUAACAUUUCUGUGUAAUAUUUUUCAUUUGAUCAAUGCAUGUAUAAUAUAUUUUGUUGCUGUUUUAAAAAAAGAAACAUGUCAAUAUUAUCUGAGCUUUUAAGGAAAAGACUAGAUACAUAAAUAAGAUUGUGCACUGGUAGAAGAGAAGAAUAUACCUGAAUUACUUAGGCCAAAGAGGAAUAAAGAGAUACAGAUGAUGAGGAGAAGAGAGAUCACAAGUCAUUAACUAUGGCUUUAUGUUUCAUGUCUCUGUAUAGUGUGUUUAAUCCUAUUAACUGCUCUCCAUUCAUUCUGUUGUUUCCAUGGAAUAGGAUUCUAAAUCUGCUCCAGAUUAAUAUUAUGCAGUUUGAUAACUAUUGUAGCUUUUUUUAGUAGGUAGAAGGUUCAUCAGAGGUGCCUUUGUUUAUUCCUAACACCUGAAGCGAUCACUGAAUUUCACAUCUCUGGGAAGUUAUCAUUCCCGUAGAAGUAAACAGGUGUUUCUAAAGCUUUCUAGUGGAUGACUAAACCAAUGGCUUUUAUCCAGGUUUUGCAGGUCACUAGAUGUUCAAAAUAGCAGAGGAAAUCAAAAGAACUGCCUGUCUUUUGCUAUCACAGUAAUUUUGCACUUGAGCAUACAAGGAUUGGCUAAUAUAAAAAGUACUGAGGAAGACACGGAGUGAUUCUCUUCAAGCUCUGCCUUGGGAAGUAACAGUAAAAGUUACAUUUCAAAUUACAACUUUACUUGAAAUGUGACUUCAUUUAUUUAGUUUUUUAAAACAUUUUCAAUGCCAAGUUUUUGUCCCUUGACAAUGUCAAAUUGGACGCAAUCCACUUCAAGGCAGAAAGAUAAGCUUCUAAUUGUCAGUCUGGUAACCACUCCCUAGAGAUCAAGUGGUAUACUUUUUGCUUUAUGCCUCACCACUAAUAUCGAUACUUUUGCAACCCAGAAAUGCUUUUCCCUUGAGCAUUUACAACCUUCUUCAAAGUCUUCAUACUUUUCCCCUCUUCUGCCAUCUGUCACACAGCAGCAAAAUGUACUGCAGUAUUGGUGGGAAGGUUCAACCUCUACUGCCAUACCACCACCAUCUGCCUCUGAUGUCAUUGCCCAACAUAAUAAAAUAUGAGGCAUUACUUAUGGAAGGAGAAAAGUGUAGAAGAUAGUAGAUAGUAGAUGGUUUUUCUUUGAAAAAUAUGAAGUUAUGAUUCUUAGAUGAUACCAAGGAUGAUCAACUGAAAAUAGGUAUGGAUGUAGUCUGGAUAUUGACAGUGACUACAAAGUAACUACACAUAAUUAAUCUAGAAGUAUCACUUGCUACAAAAGAAGAGAACAGUUCAGACUUCAAAUGAUGAGUUGGAGCGACUCCUGUAAACUCUUGUGCCCAGAUCUGUGCAGAAAGACAAAUGUUAACACAGGAAGCCUCCUUGCCAGGGCAACAGGCUGCACUCUGUAGAGCUUGAACACUGUGCUUACAUGAAGUUAAAGCCUCUAAGCUGAACCUAGCUUUUUGAUUUGUUUGUUUCUUUUUAGCAGUGGUCAAAUAGGGGCUAGUAAGGUAUGCAUCAUUUUCCAAAGUAUUAAAAUAGGCAGUAAAUUAGUAGUGUUUAUGUAAGUAAUCCAGGUGACAACCAUACUCUUACAGGGGUUAAAGUCUAAAGCCAUUCGAUUUUUAAAUGCUGAACAUGUUUUAAGUGCGCUAUUGCUUCAUGCUCUUCUCUAGUAAUAAUGGAUUUGUUGAAAUGAGCAAUUACAUUUAUAAACAGAGAACCUCUCCCACAUGGAGAGAUAUACCCACAAAGUGGUGACCUUUUGGAUAACUAAUGCCAGAACUUGCACUAUAGGAAGACUUAGGAACAUCAGACGUUUGUAACUGUGGCUCUGAAGUGAUAAGGUACCUAUGAGGAAUAACGGUGUCAACAGAGAAAGUUCCUCCCUCGUCUCAGGAAUUUGAUGAAUAACUCUGACUGUAAGCAUAUACGUUCUUUUAUUAUUAUUAUUAAAAAAUGUCUCAUUGCUUUAAAAUGUUUUUAUGUUAAAUGUGCAAAAGAGAGCUUAGCAACAGGCUUUCUCUAUAAGAAAGUGGGUUUUGAUGGGUGGGGUGUCAAGAUGUGCUUUCACCAGAAAUAUGGCUGUUCCCACUGCCCAUAAACACAUCUUUAUGAUAUAUGUGAGAACAGUUUUAGUUCAGUAGUUGCUAAUAAUUUGGCUUUGGGAUUUUUUCAAGUUCAUUUUACGCUUAUAUAAAAAAGAGUGAUUAUCUUUCUCCUAACCUUUCUGGUUUUCCUGAUUUCCAAAUUAAUGAAUAGGAAUAUUAUCAUCAAUAGGGGGCACUGACACUAGCUUCCAUUUUAGACAAUAGAAUUUUUUAAGUGCAUUGAGUGCAGAUUCUAGCAUACCUUUGGGCUAUAAAAUAAUCUAAUAUUCUAAUUGUGCUUCACAGUCAACUGUUUGCUGUUUCUUGGGCAUCCGUUAUGCAUUGAGCAGCUGCUUCUAUUGAGAUGGCCAUGACUGCUUUUAGGUACUUUCCAUUAAUACAAUACAGGGGCAAGAAAUAUGUAUCAGUAUCCAGACUUCUGAAGUACCUGCUUUAACAGCACCUCUGAAAUUUCUUAACCAUCUUUUCAAAUCUAUCCUAUUUAUGCUUUUGUGUUCUUCCUAUUUUGACAUUUCACUUUCAACCGUAUUCUAAGAUUUUAAUUAAAGUGUAUUUAACCUCAAUCUUGAUAUGUGUACCAAGGUGUUGCAAUAUUAAUCUUCUAAUAUGGCUUAACAAUUCCUCUGGCUCAUUAUCAGAAUCUCAUCCAGCUUCUUAUCCUCUCACAGGCAAUCUUUGUCCAGAGAGAUUUUUAAGUCUUGACAAUAAUGAUGUAGUGUGGGGAGCAAGAUUUCUCAUAAUGAGUGGUUGUUUAAUUUGUAGCUGAGUGGCAUUUUCACUUCUUAGGUAUUGUACUGUUUGUCUAUGAAAAUCAGAAAGUCUGUCUCUGCACAGCACCACAGAAUGGGGUACAAGGACUGGGGGACGUUUGCAGCCUCUUCAAAUGCUUCAUAUAAUAACAAUAGAAAAAGCAUUCUGAAUUAGAUAGAAAGGUGUAACCUAUAUCUACUGUUCACAUGCUUCAGGUCUCUUUCUCAUCUGCUUCACCUUCUCCAUGCCAUUUUGUUUGUAAAGAUACAAUAUUUUUCACAUACUGAAAAAUAUAUUUUUGAAUGAAAACCAGUUCUUGUAUCUGUGAGUUGUAGACAAACAUUCAGCUCAUCUCAGUAUCUGCCAGUUCAGUGGCAGAAUGAACUCUAAUACUAAGUGUAACAACACUGUGGCAGACAAUUCCAUUAAAGACAAUAAUGCAUAUGUUUUAGAUGUUUGCAUACAUUGGCAGAAUUUGGCAUAUGCCUGUCCUAUCAGCCAGAGGUGGAAAAAGGACUGGAAAAAGGACAACAGAACUAAUUUUGUCAAGGACACAAGAGUAAUGUAUUUAGACAUAAUUUAAAAGAUUUGAAUGAUAUUAAUCCAAGCAGAGGACAGUUAAAUAUAAUAAAAGUAAAAACCCUGAAAAAUGAGUGUAAGAACUCAUUUAGUCUUUUUACUGAAACUACAACAGGCUGACUUACCAUAAGCUAAAAAAGAUGUCAUUGAAUUAUCAGCAUUUACCAGUUAUUAUUUGUGGUUUCCAAGAUGCUUCUGCCUCUCACCAUAUUCUGAAUGACUACAUUCAACUCCACGUAUAAUGAAGUUUUAAGUCUCAGACUAAUAAAAAAAAUAAAAAAUAACAGAUAUAUCUUACUAAAGUAGUGAGAAAUCCUGUUCAACUCAGGGGGUCUAAUUGUAGGAAUGAAGGACAUCAGAUCUGUCUCUAAAAAUAUACUGUGCAAAAUGGAAGAUUAGAGAAAACAGUUUGCUAAAAGGACUACUUCAAGUCAUUUCAGUGGUGGUGUUCUCUGGGGUAUAGUCUGUGUACCAGUAAAAAUCUCCAUGAUUUUUAGUAAUUCUAUUAAAGUAGCACAUCACCUCCAAAUAUUGAUAAAGAUUGGGCAGAUUCACUUCAGGAUGAACCCUGCAUACACACAUAUUUUCUGAAAUGUAAAUAGUUGGCACCUGCUGAGCCAUAAUCCCUAAAUCAGAAACACAAAUGUUUGGAUUAAUAAAAAAAUGGAAAGCCUCAUUCUUUCUUGUUGUCUUCUGAAUGCAUAUUUUUUCACUUUCAGUGUUAUGUGUAUGACUGGCAUGUUUUAUCCAGGACUAGAAAUUCAGCAUGGCUAUUUGCUGUAGUAACCACAAAGGACAGAGGUGAUAAAAUUCAAGCUAAUCCAAAACUUUCAAUGACUUACAUGGGUUUUAAAAUCAAGCCUUCAAUUCAAUAGUACAGAUAUGAUGCAGUGUGAAACAACUGAGAUUUGACACUCUUAAGAAUGAAAAUUAAAGGAUAAAUAUUUUAUCUCUUUAAAGAAGUAGUUCACUGUGAUACAUGAAAAAGUUGAAAAAAUGUGAAACUUAAACAUAUGUGUACUAUUAUUGAAAUCUGUUUGAUUUUUUUGCAUGCAUAAAGUUUUAGCAUUCUACUGCAUCCGAGACUAAAUUUUCAGUAAUGUUUGGGUUUUUAGCACAUGCCUGAAACUGCUGUCUUUCAUAUUUGAAGUGCAUAGGUAAGGAAUAGAGACUGCAGACAUACAGAUUAAUCCACUGUGCAAACUAAAGCUAUGAUUACAAGCAAACUGCUUAAACUCUGAUGCAGUUUGAAGGAAGAAAGUUUGAAAUCUUUUACCAACACUGUUUAUUAUUGGACAGGAUUGUGAUGUUUUAUUUGUUUUUGUUUUGUUCUGUUUUUGUUUUGGGGGGAUUCAAUACAGAAAUUGGAGGAGUGUGUUGGACUGCAGCUGGUGGUACUAAUUACCUGGGGCAAAGGAAGUUGUCUUUCCAUUAUGUUUUGUGCUGUUUUUCAGACCUUAUGGAUCCCAGAAGGUGAACCUAUAAUCAAGUCUUUACUGGGGGCUUCUUGGCAAGGCUAUCUCCAGCCACUGUUCCUGGCCUCAUAUAAGGUGUUCUAGAAAGGGGUUCCUCCAGCCGUGCAUCAGGACAAGGAACCAAGUGCUCCAGAGAGCCAAGUGAAUUGUUACCUGUCACAGCAUCCCCAUGUUCAUCUCUUAAUACUUGUGGGUGUGAUACAAACCACCUAAAAGAGAUUCACUGCCUCUUUUACAGCCCAGACUAGACAGUUUCCUGUGUUCCAUCAGUGCAGUUCUACUGCUGCACAUUUUGGUUUGGUAAGUGCUAAGACAAAGAUUCUUUCCUAGUGAUUUUACAAUGCUUGCUGAUCUAUAGAGACACAAUAGAGUAAACAACAGUUAACAAAUUGCUCUAAUAGACAGCACAGUCCCUUAGGAAACAAUCAUAACAUCGACACUAAAGUUGAGAUAUUCUCUCUCCAGGGCACCAUUAACAGUAAUUUUAUCGCCGAGUGUGUAUUUAAUUCUGCAACACCAGUCCCAGGCUGGGAGGUUCUCCAGGUCAGAGGUUAAUAAUAGGCAAAACCACUUCACUGUUAUGUUCAUAGGCUAUUGAAAACAAAGAGGAAACCAAUCUGCCUUAAACUUCCAGCUGGAAGUCCCAGUAAUAAAAUUACUUACACAUAGCAAAAUCAAACUGCGAAUGUAAGUGAGCAAUGCAUUAAGUUUUUCUUAAAUGGCAUGCAGAAGGACAGAUUAUUUCAUUUUACUGUGGUUUAUUAUUAUUAUUUUAUUUUAAUUAAUAGUUUCCUUUACUUUUAGGCUGAUUUUCUCCUGAGUUAGCCAGAAAAGCUGUAAUUUUGAGAAGGACACAGUGUCACUGUAGACAGUAAGCUGAAGAGUCGGAUGCUAUUUGAAGACAAAUGUAACACUUGGGAGACUUAAACAAUCACAAGGAAUUGAGGAAGAACUGUUUCUUCAUAUUUUUGUGACUUUACUGGAAAGUCAUGUGUCAAUAUAUGUUGAAAAGGAUGUUAAAAAUAAGAAAGGUGUACAUAAAAAGAAUUCUGAAACAAACAAAAAAAAGUUAGUGAAAAUACAUCAAGGGCAAGACACAAGAGAAGCUCUAUCUAUUGACUCAGUUUAGACGGAGAAGUCACCUGACUGCAGGUACCUACAGGCAAAUGGUAUUUCUGACAAUUAAGAGCUAUCUAAUUUAGGAGGAAGGGAUGUAUAACUAGCUGGAGCCAAGAAUUCCAUUCUAUGUCACUUCCAUCCCCUCCCCCCAGCAACAACAAAAGUUUACGUUGUGAGUUUUAAACAGUUGGAGCAAUUUUUAUCCUUCUGAAAGCUAUAAUACACUACAUCUCAUACUGAGUCUACAUAGUGUACAAUAUUACAAUUAAUAUCAAUUUUUAAAUUUAAGAAUUUGUAAAUCAACCAAGUAGAAUCUUUGCCCUAGUCAUAUUUAUUAUCAUUUAAUUACAGUUCUCUUUUGUCUUUUUCUCUGAAACUUUUCUACAGAUUCCCAAAAUAGAGUAUUUCACAUCAUAAUAAUUAAGCUUGAACCAAAUAGAAACUGUUCAGCUCAAGACUCUAAAUUGUCAUGAGGAAAAAUUAAAUAAACAUCAUUUUAGCUUCUGUGUUAUGACUUAAUACAUCAAUGAUCUAGAAUAAAAAGUGUUAAUGCCUGUUAUAGCCCUUAAGCUAUAAAAAUAUGUGGUUCUGUCUUGAUCAUGCUUGAUAUGCCGUGUCUUGACUAGGUUUUAUUCUAUUCUGUUUUUACAGGUUAGCAGGACUUUAAUCAAGAAAAAAAAAUCUAAUGAGCAGCAAUUUGAAAUACAGCAUUUGGAAAGGUCAAAAUGGUACAUUACAUCCCUAUUAUCCAAAAGAACAGAUGAGUUUAAUAUCCUGACAGCAUUUUCCUGUGAAGAAGAUAUUAAACAAGAACUGAAAAUGGCACAAGGUUCCCUCUUCCUUUCUUUUGACAAAGACUGUAACAAGAUGAUGAAAUUGUACAGAAUAAAUCUCAUCCUGCUUUAAUGUUCAGAUUGGGGAUCCUGCCUAGAUUUCAAAAAUCUAAGCUAAUAAAAGAGACAAAACAUAUGUUAUUUGUUUCAGGUAUAUCCACAUGAAGCAGAAGACUUUUACUAUACAUUUUCCUACUUACAUGACCCAGUUUCCAUCAAUAUUUUCUAGAUUUAAAAAUAGGAAUAAUUGGUAACAGAAGGUACAUAAUGCAUCUAAUUUCAAGAAGUAAAGCAUUGAACUGCAACAGAUAAUGCACUGCAUCAAAACAGCUUAAAAUGUAAAUUUUUCAGCUUCCAUAUGAAAGACUGCAGAAUACAAAGAAUAAAUUCCAACACACAAUGCACUGUAUGUAUUCUGCUUUGGUGAGUCCUUGGCAGUGUGGAACUGUUUGAAGGCAAAGGAAUUUGCACUAUAUCCCGUUGAUUGUUAGCAAUUCAAUUAAUAUAUGGAACUGUCACGAUUUGUUGUCUUAAAUCUUGUUAAAUUGGCCCUCGUGUUAAAUCUUAUUAUUACAACCAAAAAAUGCUGUGCUUAAAAAUCAAAACAUGAGUAUACAGCACACACCUUUAUUAAUAUGACAUGCACUUGUAUUCAUUCCACAUGAGAUAUGAGAAGUCUGCUGUUACAUAAGAGCAUAACAAGUUAUAUAAUAAAGACAUUCAUGAUUAUUAAAGAAAAACAAAUUAUAUGAUUCCAAAAGAUACACAUCUUCAAGUAUAACUGGCUGAAGUAGACGUACAUGGCUUUGAAUAAGAACUCGUAAGUAGAAAUCAUACAGAACCUCUUUUUUUCUUCACCAUCUAGAGAAUACAUCUGAAAAAAUAUCUCUGUGGUGCUUUACGUGCAGUACCUUGCUGAGAAAACCCAUUCUGCUUUGGCCAAGAGAGAGAAAAUGAACAUGCCCAAAAUAUGUUUUUCAAGCCUUGAGUGGAAAAAAAAAUGUUUUUUGGGUUUUUUUUUUUUUCUUUUUCUUAGGUGAUCUUAUUUUCCACUAGAAAUUGUAGAUACAUCCUUUGUUUUGCAACUGAAAUGCAAGAUAGCUUUUUAAAAGUGUUGGCAAUGUGUGACCAAUUUUGAAACUUCAAAGGUUUUGCAAAACUAUAGAAAAGAAGAUCCCUGAAGGGUGCUAAUUUCCAUAGGCAUUUAUGAAAUGAGUGUUUUCCAUGUAUCUAAAAGAAAUCCACUGGAUAACAUUUAAAGUUUAUAGAGAGUUCCUUGUGAUUUAGUUAAUAGCUCCUGAAACUAAAAUGACAACAAAUAGCUCUUUUCUGUUUCCCAACCAGAAAUACGAGCAGAGUAUGAAGCGUCCAGAAAAUAAUAAGCAAAACUGUUUUUCAGUGAAUUAUUGUUCAUAGUUCAGAUCCAUGGAUUUUUAUCAUGCAAAUUACAAAGAAUUCAGACCAUAUAUAAUUCUGCUAUUAAGAAAUAAAUUAUAUGCUGUUGUUAUCCGAC